ACGAACGCUGGCGGCAGGCUUAACACAUGCAAGUCGAGCGCCCCGCAAGGGGAGCGGCAGACGGGUGAGUAACGCGUGGGCACGUACCUUUUGGUUCGGAACAACUCCGGGAAACUGGAGCUAAUACCGGAUAAGCCCUAACGGGGAAAGAUUUAUCGCCGAAAGAUCGGCCCGCGUCUGAUUAGCUAGUUGGUGAGGUAACGGCUCACCAAGGCGACGAUCAGUAGCUGGUCUGAGAGGAUGAUCAGCCACACUGGGACUGAGACACGGCCCAGACUCCUACGGGAGGCAGCAGUGGGGAAUAUUGGACAAUGGGCGCAAGCCUGAUCCAGCCAUGCCGCGUGAGUGAUGAAGGCCUUAGGGUUGUAAAGCUCUUUUGUCCGGGAAGAUAAUGACUGUACCGGAAGAAUAAGCCCCGGCUAACUUCGUG
rnacentral:rRNA from 1 species